UACGGAAGGUCCGGGCGUUAUCCGGAUUUAUUGGGUUUAAAGGGAGCGUAGGCCGUUUGUUAAGCGUGUUGUGAAAUGUCGGGGCUCAACCUGGGCAUUGCAGCGCGAACUGGCAGACUUGAGUGCGCGGGAAGUAGGCGGAAUUCGUCGUGUAGCGGUGAAAUGCUUAGAUAUGACGAAGAACUCCGAUUGCGAAGGCAGCCUGCUGUAGCGUAACUGACGCUGAAGCUCGAAAGCGUGGGUAUCGAACAGG
rnacentral:rRNA from 1 species